rnacentral:rRNA from 1 species
GUACGGCGAGUGAGCGGUAAAAGCUCAAAUUUGAAAUCUGGUACUUUCAGUGCCCGAGUUGUAAUUUGUAGAAUUUGUCUUUGAUUAGGUCCUUGUCUAUGUUCCUUGGAACAGGACGUCAUGAGGGUGAGAAUCCCGUUUGGCGAGGAUACCUUUUCUCUGUAAGACUUUUUCGAAGAGUCGAGUUGUUUGGGAAUGCAGCUCAAAGUGGGUGGUAAAUUCCAUCUAAAGCUAAAUAUUGGCGAGAGACCGAUAGCGAACAAGUACAGUGAUGGAAAGAUGAAAAGAACUUUGAAAAGAGAGUGAAAAAGUACGUGAAAUUGUUGAAAGGGAAGGGCAUUUGAUCAGACAUGGUGUUUUUUGCAUGCACUCGCCUCUCGUGGGCUUGGGCCUCUCAAAAAUUUCACUGGGCCAACAUCAAUUCUGGCAGUAGGAUAAAUCAUUAAGAAUGUAGCUACCUCGGUAGUGUUAUAGCUUAUUGGAAUACUGCUAGCUGGGAUUGAGGACUGCGCUUCGGCAAGGAUGUUGGCAUAAUGGUUAAAUG